GGAAUCUUCGGCAAUGGACGAAAGUCUGACCGAGCAACGCCGCGUGAGUGAAGAAGGUUUUCGGAUCGUAAAACUCUGUUGUUAGAGAAGAACAAGGAUGAGAGUAACUGUUCAUCCCUUGACGGUAUCUAACCAGAAAGCCACGGCUAACUACGCGCCAG
rnacentral:rRNA from 1 species